GCUGGCGUAGCUCAGCUGGCAGAGCGGCUGAUUUGUAAUCAGCAGGUCGGGGGUUCGAGCCCCUCCGCCAGCUCCA
rnacentral:tRNA from 1 species